CACAAACAGGGGGAUACCCUGGUCUGGAAAUGUCAAACCCAUGGUCUGUUAUUUUUUAACAAGCGGGUGACCUCAGAUUGAGAAUCCAACAUGUGUGUUGUGUAAAGCUUUUUUUAGGGGAGGCCCCAUAACUCUGCCAUGUCUGACACCGAGGAGGGACUGGUCAGGCUCAUAGCUCUGCCGUGUCUGGCACCGAGGAGGGACUGGUCAGGCUCAUAGCUCUGCCGUGUCUGGCACCGAGGAGGGGCUGGUCCGGCUCAUAGCUCUGCCGUGUCUGGCACCGAGGAGGGACUGGUCAGGCUCAUAGCUCUGCCGUGUCUGGCACCGAGGAGGGACUGGUCAGGCUCAUAGCUCUGCCGUGUCUGGCACCGAGGAGGGACUGGUCAGGGUCUGGCUAAGACACUGUAGGGUCAGCAGCAUACCUCACACACCCAGAUGGAAGAGAGGAACAGACCAGAGAAAAAAGAGAGGAUGACCAUGCAGAUGAAAUUCUAAAUCCCUAACAACAAAAGCAGCUGCUGCACUACACUGGGCGAGACAGAGAGGCAGAACGGUGAAAAAGAGGAUGGGGGAGUGUGUAAGGGUGUAAGGGUGUGUGCCCUUGCCUUGCAUGUGUGUGAUUGUGCCUGAUCUGAUUUAAACUGAAAGCCGCGUUAGUUACAACUCGCCUGCAACUUGUGCAGAAUUAGAUUAUCGUCACAGAGGAGAGUACUACUGACAAAACCACAGAGACUUCUUUUCA
rnacentral:lncRNA from 8 species